rnacentral:pre_miRNA from 1 species
GGGGGGAGCUCCGCAUCCUGGGCUGUGUCCCCUGGCGCCCUGGGCUCCUGGGCCUGUGCUGCUGGAAUCACGCUCCCGGGGCUGCGCAGCCCCCU